GCCAGCAUGGCAUAGUGGUUUGAGUGUUGGACUACAACUGUGGAGACCAGGGUUUGAUUCCCUGCUUGGCC